rnacentral:rRNA from 1 species
GCGGCGGACGGGUGAGUAAUGCCUAGGAAUCUGCCUGGUAGUGGGGGAUAACGUCCGGAAACGGGCGCUAAUACCGCAUACGUCCUGAGGGAGAAAGUGGGGGAUCUUCGGACCUCACGCUAUCAGAUGAGCCUAGGUCGGAUUAGCUAGUUGGUGGGGUAAAGGCCUACCAAGGCGACGAUCCGUAACUGGUCUGAGAGGAUGAUCAGUCACACUGGAACUGAGACACGGUCCAGACUCCUACGGGAGGCAGCAGUGGGGAAUAUUGGACAAUGGGCGAAAGCCUGAUCCAGCCAUGCCGCGUGUGUGAAGAAGGUCUUCGGAUUGUAAAGCACUUUAAGUUGGGAGGAAGGGCAGUAAGUUAAUACCUUGCUGUUUUGACGUUACCAACAGAAUAAGCACCGGCUAACUUCGUGCCAGCAGCCGCGGUAAUACGAAGGGUGCAAGCGUUAAUCGGAAUUACUGGGCGUAAAGCGCGCGUAGGUGGUUCAGCAAGUUGGAUGUGAAAUCCCCGGGCUCAACCUGGGAACUGCAUCCAAAACUACUGAGCUAGAGUACGGUAGAGGGUGGUGGAAUUUCCUGUGUAGCGGUGAAAUGCGUAGAUAUAGGAAGGAACACCAGUGGCGAAGGCGACCACCUGGACUGAUACUGACACUGAGGUGCGAAAGCGUGGGGAGCAACAGGAUUAGAUACCCUGGUAGUCCACGCCGUAAACGAUG